GGAGGCAGACAGAGAGAAAGCCUGAGGGGCUCCCUCUGCACACGCUCAGCUGUGCCCCGCAGCCCCAGCGCCUCUCCCUAGGUGAUGCAUUAUUCACCAGCCCCCUUCAGCUGAGUCAGGAGGAGCUGAGACAGGACAGCGCCGCGGCGAAAACGCAGACGAUGACAAAGCCUGCUUUACCGACGGUCCCGGGGUAUUGCAGGGAAAGGCAGCCCCCCUCCAAGGCAUUACAAUCCCUCAUGAAAAAUCUCUCCGGGGAUCACAGGAUGCUGCCGGCAGCUGGGGAGGCUCUUGCUGGGGCCGACGGGAGCCUGUGUGGCAGGGUGGCUUCUCCCUCCACCCCCUUCAGCCCUUCCAGCACCCUCGGUGCCUGCCCUCUGGAUCCUUAACAAAGAAGAACCCUGCCUCCUUCAGCGCCUGAAGCCGGGGGAGGUGCAGGUUGAGCUGGGAAGAAAUGGGGAGCAGGGUCCGGGCUGUUUCAGACCUUCAUGGAGGACCCAGGGAAAGAAGAGCCCCCAGAGGGAUUCGUGGACACAGCGUGACCUGCGGGCCCCUGGGCUGCGCCUGCCGUCCAUCAUGUCAGGAGGAGGAGAAGGAGAGCACGAGGCGUGUGUGUGUGUGUGUGUGUGUGUGUGUGUGUGUGUGUGUGUGUGUGUUUAAAGAAUGUUAAUUCAUACUGAGAUCCUAGGGAAUAUUUUCCUAACUAGGACAGACUUGGGAAUAAAUAACGUGCUUAUAUAGCUGGGUCUCCCCUCCCCUUCCUUUCUCCCACUCACUUAACACACACACACGUGUGCGCACAUAGACACACGCACACACGUGCACACACAUUGCUAGUUACUAAAGCUAGCCUGUGGGGCAAGGAAAAGCUGACCUUGAGAAAUGCAGUUUUCAAUUCCAGCUGAAGCCCACGUGAGGAGCCUGUGCCUGGCACUCCAG
rnacentral:lncRNA from 1 species